rnacentral:rRNA from 1 species
AGCAGCCGCGGUAAUUCCAGCUCCAAUAGCGUAUAUUAAAGUUGUUGCAGUUAAAAAGCUCGUAGUUGAACUUCGGGGUUCACCCAUUGGUCAGGCUUAAUUGUCUGUACUGGUGAGAUGAGUCUCUACCUUCUGAGGAACUUUCAUGCCAUUUAUUUGGUGUGAUUGGAAAUCAGGACUGUUACUUUGAAAAAAUUAGAGUGUUUAAAGCAGGCUAACGUCUGAAUACAUUAGCAUGGAAUAAUGAAAUAGGACGGACUGAUUCUAUUUCGUUGGUUUCUAGGAUCACCGUAAUGAUUAAUAGGGAUAGUUGGGGGCAUUAGUAUUCAAUUGUCAGAGGUGAAAUUCUUGGAUUUAUUGAAGACUAACUACUGCGAAAGCAUUUGCCAAGGAUGUUUUCAUUAAUCAAGAACGAAAGUUAGGGGAUCGGAGACGAUCAGAUACCGUCGUAGUCUUAACCAUAAACUAUGCCGACUAGGGAUCGGACGAAGUUAAUUUUAUAAUGACGCGUUCGGCACCUUACG